rnacentral:sRNA from 1 species
CUGCUGCUGCUGCUGCUGCUGCUGCACCUGCGGAUGCAACUGCUGAUGCAUAUGCUGCUGCUGCUGCUGCUGCUGCUGCUGCUG